rnacentral:rRNA from 1 species
UAAGUAUACCGGAAGGUGUGCUUGGAACCGAAAUGUAGUAUAACCAAAACAACUUGCUUACACCAAGCCGAUAUCUGUGAAACCCGGAUCAUUUCGAGCCUAACCUUUAGCCCACCAACCCCUCAUGAACUUCUUACACCACCAUGAUUCAACCAAAACAUUUUUACAAUCUAGUAGAGGCGAUCGAAAAAUCCUCAGGAGCUAUAUAAUCUGUACCGCAAGGGAACAAUGAAAUAGAAAUGAAAGAACACUAAAGCGCAACAAAGUAAAGACAUACCCUUGUACCUUUUGCAUCAUGGUCUAGCAAGUCUAAUCAAGCAAAACGACCUAAAGUUUGACUUCCCGAAACCAAGCGAGCUACUUCAAGGCAGCUUUUAGAGCCCACCCGUCUCUGUUGCAAAAGAGUGGGAUGACCUUCAAGUAGGGGUGACAGACCUAACGAGCUUGGUGAUAGCUGGUUGCCUGAGAAACGGAUCUAAGUCCACCCUUAAAUUCAUUUAACCUUAUAUAGUGAGCCACUAAUUUAAGAGUCAUUCAAAUAAGGUACAGCUUAUUUGAAACCGGAAACAACCUCCACAAUUGGGUAAUGCCCCUUUAAGUGUGAAAAAGUAGGCCUAAAAGCAGCCACCUGAAUAAAAAGCGUCAUAGCUUAAACACACCCCAAACAUCAAUACCACCACCCUAACAAAACCCCUCUCCAAUAUCAAGCAAUUCUAUAAAAAUAUAGAAAAACUUAUGCUGGAACUAGUAACAAGAAACAGACCUUCUCUCCAAUAUGAGUGUAUAUCAAAAUGGACACACCAUUGAUAAUUAACGCCACUGAACCUAUAGUAGUAACCCACCAAGAAAACCCUACUACCCCCAAACGUUAACCUAACACUAGAAUAUUUCGAGAAAGAUUAAAAAAAAGGGAAGGAACUCGGCAAAUAUUAACCUCGCCUGUUUACCAAAAACAUCGCCUCUUGAAACAUAUAAGAGGUCCAGCCUGCCCAGUGACCAUGUUCAACGGCCGCGGUAUCCUGACCGUGCGAAGGUAGCGUAAUCACUUGUUCUUUAAAUAAGGACUAGUAUGAAUGGCAUCACGAGGGUUAUACUGUCUCCCCUUUUUAAUCAGUGAAACUAAUCUUCCCGUGAAGAAGCGGGAAUAUCCUUAUAAGACGAGAAGACCCCAUGGAGCUUUAAACAAACAGCAUAUGCUCACCUCACUAAUUCUCCUUAAAGUCAAGCAUUGUGACUGCUAGUUUUCGGUUGGGGCGACCACGGAGAACAACACAUCCUCCGCGUUGAAAGAGUUCUACUCUUAGCUAAGAGCUACACCUCUAAGUAUCAACACCUUGACAUCCAUUGACCCAAUAAAAUUGAUCAACGAACCUAGUUACCCUGGGGAUAACAGCGCAAUCCAUUUCAAGAGCCCCUAUCGACAAAUGGGUUUACGACCUCGAUGUUGGAUCAGGGUAUCCCAGUGGUGCAGCCGCUACUAAAGGUUCGUUUGUUCAACGAUUAAAACCCU